UGUUUGAGCAGGCUUCUCAAUAUGCCAUAAUAUUUAAUGGUCUUCAGUGAGCUCACAGGUUUUAUAGUUUUCCUUCCAGUUUUAACAUAUACCUGAGGGACUAGGUUCCUCUUCUGCAAUUAUGCAAAGCCUCAGCUUCGUUUCAUUUCAACAUUUAAUCAAAUCUUGCUUAGUAUCCCUCCUCCAUCCAUUCUCUGGAGCUGCUAAUUGCUUUAUGUACAUCUCUACCAUGAAUAUUUUUAAUUGUGAAAGGGUUUAAAAGGAUAUGGAGUUUAAAUUUGAUUUAUAAAAAUCUCUUAAGUGGUCUUCAUUGCCUUUGGUGGAAAGUAUCCUUAUUUCCUUUUCUGUUUGAAGAGGUGUUAAUUAAAUACGUUGAGUUAAUUUAAAAUUAACAGUGGAUAUAAUUUGAUGUCUUUCUAUUGAAUCAGCAAGUUCUAAAUGAAGAUUCUCAGGUCAAGAAGAUUCUUGUUUUAGGUAUGGUUAAUCUAAGUGAAUAGACUGUUUCUCUAGAAGAGGCAAUUAUAUCGUGGAAAGGGAAUGUCAGUGCAGAACCCAGUCCAUUUUGAAAUGUAAAGAAAGUUGGGUGUCUAGACACAUGGAGCAUACCCAAAAUAGCCAAUGGCUUUCAUGGAGUUUACUAUCUGACAAUAUUCCUGACAAUUGCAUAAAACGGUCAGAGCUGGAAAAUCUUUGGAGAUCAUGUCAUCCCGUUCCCUCACUGUGAAGACAAGAACACUGAAACUCAUACAGGAGAAUAAUGAGGGCUGGUUAUCUAGUAAAUUAGCCCCAGUAUUUAAAAUAGGACAAUUGUCCUUAACUUUUAAUCCCCUGAGAUAUUUACAAAUCACAAACUUAUAGGUCAAGCCAUUUUUUGUUGCAAUAGUCUUAUGGAGGCAACAAUCAUUGCAGCAUUAUGAAUUUCAAAGUGUAGCAUACAGCUCUUCUUGUUUCAGCUUUCUGGAUGUAUUUAUUUAGUUUUAAAUUGCUAUAUGACAAAUUAUCACAAAUCUAACAGCUUAAAACAACUUCACAGUUUCUAUCCGUCAGGAGUCCAGGCAUGGCUCUUGUAGGCCCUCUGCACCAAGUCUCACAAAACUGAAAUUAAGAUGUUAGCUCACUAUGUUCCUUUCUGAAGCAUGGGGUUGCAUUCUAAUCUCACAUAGCGGGCAGAAUUUAAUUCCUUGUUCUUACAUGGCUAAAAUCUUCACUUUCUUUCUGAAUGUUGGCUUUUAGUUCCUAGAACUUUUUCACAGUUCCUUCACAUGGCCCUCUUACAAUAUGGUAGCCUACUUCUUCAUAGCCAACAGGAAAACUACUCCCAUAUCUCUUUUAAGUGUUUACCUGAUUAUGCCAGGACCACCUUUUGAUUAACUCACAUCAACUGAUUAGACACCUUAAUUGAAUGUGUAAAAUCCUCUCACCUUUGUCACAAAAUGUAACUUGAUCAUAAUGGGGCAGCCAUUGUGUUCAUCUGUCUGGUUACUUCCAAGGAAAAAUUAUACGGGGCAUGUUCAUUUGGCAGGUGGAAACCUUGGGACCAUCUUAGAAUUCUAUUCACCAUGCCAGACUACCUUCACCUCCUUCCAGGUAUAGAUUUAUGGUGAAGUUCAUGUUGCUUACAUUUCAGGUCUUUUCACCUGCACGGGCCACUGUGAAUACUGAUAAUGGUAAGAGUUACAGACUAUUCUAGACAGAGAGAAGAAGAUAAGUUUUGAUACAGAAGCAAUUCCAGGGAUCCCUGGGUGGCGCAGCGGUUUGGUGCCUGCCUUUGGCCCAGGGCGCGAUCCUGGAGACCCGGGAUCGAAUCCCACGUCGGGCUCCCGGUGCAUGGAGCCUGCUUCUCCCUCUGCCUGUGUCUCUGCCUCUCUCUCUCUCUCUCACUGUGUGCCUAUCAUAAAUAAAUAAAAAAAAUGUUUAAAAAAAAAUUAAAAAAAAAGAAAAGAAGCAAUUCCAUUUAAAGAUUUUUUAAAUAAGUAUUUCUGAUUCAGAAAGAAAGGGUUCUAAAUCUCUAAGAAUCUAAUUGGUUUUAGUCAUUUCCUUAUUUUAAAUACAUGUGCACUUCUUCAUCUAAUUCUGUGUGUUAUCCUUGAAGAGGGUUCUUCAUCUUUUGUAAGCUUCAGGUCUCAAAACAUAUGGCCCUGCGGUUCACCAUGAUUCAGUACAAAAACCUGUAACUAUUGACUAUCCUAGAACUCACUAGGGUUUGUCAGGUUUAUUGUUUUUACAUAAGCAAUUUCUAUGUCGAUGGAAGCCCUACGAUACCUUCUCUCCUUGGCUGCCUCCUAUCAGCUUCAAAAAUCAAUAAAGGGGCCUCACCUCUCACUGGUUUGGGACUCUACUUCAGUGUUUAUAUCUAUCAUACCAUAUUGGCUCUUAACUAUCCUUGUUUAUCCUGUCUCUCUACCUCCACUAUCUCAAUCUUUACUCUCCAUCUAACCCAAGCCUGUCCUUAAGGAGGGAGAAGUAGGUUUCCCUUUCUAUUUUCCCAGUGCUUAGUCUAGGCACUGCACUGAUAUUUUCUGCAUAAAUACAGAAUAAAUCAUUGGAAUGGAUUGUUACAUUUCAAAUUAUAAUAAAAAGAGGAAGAAAUUAAUGGCAUUGAUUUUAGACAAAAAAAUUAAUUUUGUUCAGAAUUAAGUUUCUCCUUUAUACUAUUUUUUAAAUGGUUACUUUUUACACUAACAUUUUCAUUCUCAGAACCAUAAAAUGUGAAGGCCCUGGGAUUAGUAAAUAGACCGUGCACACUGCAGUAUAAACCCAGGCUUAGAUUCUAACUGGAUGGGCUUGGGAAAAUGACCAGGUCACUUUUAGACUUGAGUUUCUCUAACUGCAAAAUAGAUUUAAUUUCAAUCCCAGUGUUGUUAU
rnacentral:lncRNA from 1 species